rnacentral:snRNA from 1 species
AGCUCGUCAACAACUCCGAAUCA